rnacentral:rRNA from 6 species
GGGAUCAUUACACAAAUAUGAAGGCGGGCUGGAACCUCUCGGGGUUACAGCCUUGCUGAAUUAUUCACCCUUGUCUUUUGCGUACUUCUUGUUUCCUUGGUGGGUUCGCCCACCACUAGGACAAACAUAAACCUUUUGUAAUUGCAAUCAGCGUCAGUAACAAAUUAAUAAUUACAACUUUCAACAACGGAUCUCUUGGUUCUGGCAUCGAUGAAGAACGCAGCGAAAUGCGAUAAGUAGUGUGAAUUGCAGAAUUCAGUGAAUCAUCGAAUCUUUGAACGCACAUUGCGCCCUUUGGUAUUCCAAAGGGCAUGCCUGUUCGAGCGUCAUUUGUACCCUCAAGCUUUGCUUGGUGUUGGGCGUCUUGUCUCUAGCUUUGCUGGAGACUCGCCUUAAAGUAAUUGGCAGCCGGCCUACUGGUUUCGGAGCGCAGCACAAGUCGCACUCUCUAUCAGCAAAGGUCUAGCAUCCAUUAAGCCUUUUUUUCAACUUUUGACC